GAGGACACAGCUCAGUGGCAGAGUGUGUGCUUAGCAUGCACGAGGUCCUGGGGUCAAUUCCCAGCACCCCCA
rnacentral:tRNA from 1 species